AUCCUCUCCACUCUUCGCUCCGCGCCUGCCUCGCGGCGAUCGCUAACCCCCCUCUAUAAAAAUCUCUCUCUCGCUCGCUCCUUCCUCAGGUGUGCACUGCCAUUCCCGACAACGCCUUCGCCUUCCCACCUCUCGCAGGAGCCGCCGUUUCUCCUCAGGAAAUGGCCGCGCUGCAACCCUCAUUCUCGUCAACCAUGGCUAUGAAUAAUAGCUGCAGCACUAUGAAGUUCCCCAAAACUGCACUUUUGCCUUGUUUUGGUGGUAUUUCACGUCCUCAAGAUGUGCAGGACAGGAAUGCUGGCUUCAAUUCUUCAAGGCCUAAGGCAGUUUCACUGGCUGAUCAGUCAAUACAAGAGCCAGCAAAACCCAGGCAAAAGAAACAAACAGUUGAUCCUACUGCUCCAGAAUUCCUGCCACUCCCAUCAUUUGAAGAAUGCUUUCCUCGGAGCACCAAAGAAUGCAGUGAAAUUGUUCAUGAGGAAUCAGGUCAUGUCCUCAAGGUUCCAUUCCGGAGAGUCCAUUUGACUGGAGACAAUGAGCAUUUUGAUACAUAUGACACCAGUGGUCCACAAAACAUAAGUCCAAGUCUUGGACUCCCAAAGAUAAGAAAAGAGUGGAUUGACCGGAGGGAGAAAUUAGCUAGUCCUCGAUACACGCAAAUGUACUAUGCUAAGCAGGGAAUAAUAACAGAGGAGAUGGUGUACUGUGCCAAACGUGAGAAUCUCACUCCUGAAUUUGUCCGGUCAGAGGUUGCCCGUGGACGGGCCAUUAUUCCUUCCAACAAGAGGCACCUGGAAUUGGAGCCCAUGAUUGUUGGAAGAAAUUUCCUUGUAAAGGUAAAUGCAAACAUUGGAAACUCAGCUGUUGUGAGCUCCAUUGAGGAGGAAGUCCACAAGCUCCAGUGGGCCACAAUGUGGGGAGCAGAUACUGUCAUGGACCUUUCAACAGGGCGCCAUAUACAUGAGACCCGGGAAUGGAUUAUUCGUAAUUCUUCAGUUCCUAUUGGAACUGUUCCUAUUUACCAAGCACUUGAGAAAGUUAAUGGUAUUGCUGAAGAUCUGAGCUGGGAAGUCUUUAGAGACACUUUAAUUGAACAAGCUGAGCAAGGUGUUGAUUAUUUCACCAUCCAUGCUGGUGUGUUGCUUCGUUAUAUCCCUCUUACAGCAAAGAGAAUGACUGGCAUAGUUUCACGUGGUGGAUCUAUCCAUGCAAAAUGGUGCUUAACCUACCACAAGGAGAACUUUGCUUAUGAGCAUUGGGAUGACAUUCUUGACAUAUGCAAUCAGUAUGAUGUAGCAUUAUCAAUUGGCGAUGGUUUGAGGCCUGGUUCUAUUUAUGAUGCAAAUGAUAGUGCUCAGUUUGCAGAACUGCUGACUCAAGGGGAACUAACACGCCGAGCAUGGGAGAAAGAUGUGCAGGUGAUGAAUGAAGGUCCAGGGCAUAUUCCGAUGCAUAAAAUUCCUGAGAACAUGGAGAAACAGCUGGAGUGGUGCAAUGAAGCACCUUUUUAUACAUUGGGUCCAUUGACAACUGAUAUCGCACCUGGUUAUGAUCACAUCACCUCAGCCAUUGGCGCUGCCAAUAUUGGGGCUCUUGGAACUGCACUUCUUUGUUAUGUAACACCAAAGGAGCACCUUGGGUUGCCUAAUCGUGAUGAUGUUAAGACAGGUGUGAUAUCCUACAAAAUAGCUGCUCAUGCUGCUGACUUGGCAAAGCGUCAUCCUUAUGCACAAGCAUGGGAUGAUGCACUAAGCAAGGCGAGGUUUGAGUUUAGAUGGUUGGACCAAUUUGCUUUAUCGCUUGAUCCAGUAACUGCUAUGUCUUUCCAUGAUGAAACAUUACCGUCUGAUGGCGCCAAAGUAGCACAUUUCUGUUCAAUGUGUGGUCCCAAGUUCUGUUCGAUGAAAAUCACAGAAGAUAUUAGGAAGUAUGCUGAUGAACAUGGUUACGGGACAGUGGAGGAAGCUGUGAGACAAGGAAUGAGUGACAUGAGUGCUGAAUUUUUGGCUGCAAGGAAAACAAUUAGUGGUGAACAACAUGGUGAAGCUGGAGGGGAAAUCUAUGUUCCAGAAAGCUAUGUAGCUACAAAAUAAGAUCUCCUCAACAGGCAUCUGCUACACGUGAUGCAGAUUUGACGGAUAGGCCGUUUGUCAGCAGCACUUCUACCAUCCUUUGUUAGGAGGUGGGGUGCCUGUAUUCUCAACAAUCUGAAGGCUCCUAGGCCUGGAUUGUUGUGAUAUGGGCUGAGAAAGUCCCUUUGAACCUGCACAGGAUAAUGCCUGCGAAGGGAGUGUGCAAUUCUAUUUUCAUGUUUCCCAGGACACACUCAAUCCUCUCAACCUUUUGGAAACUGAGGAACCAAAGUUUCCUGAUUGUGGUGCUCGUCAACUGGAUAUGCACGUUUCUUACCCCUGAGGUGACCAGCUUUCACACUGGCAUUUCCCCAAGUUGAGAGAAUUUAUACAGGUAUAGCUUCAUCAUGGUAUGUAUCAAGUUUAAUCAUACCUCUGGUCAAUUUAGUCAAACUUGAGUAUGCCCAUGAUAUCUUGCAAAACAUUCACCUUGUCCUAUAUAAUCUUCUUCUACACCUAUCUAUCUACAUAUAUUGAUAUUAGAAGUACAGACCAACGUAAUCAACACUAAGGUUGGAAAUUUUAGGUGCACUUGUCAAUUGAGAACAAAAGCACUACAAAUUCCAUUUGACCAAUUGACCUGAUCAUGACAAAAUCUGUCUAUUAAGCAUUGAUUUUGUGGGACUGACUAAUCAACUACUCCCUCCGAUCCAUGAUAAGUGUCUGGGAUUUAGUGCAAAGUUGUAUUAAAUCCAAGACACUUAUUAUGGAUCGGAGGGAGUAUAAUACUCAAUACCAUAGCUCUUUGUGAUUCUUCGCACUGGAAUUAUCAAAUGUGGCAUAUAGGGACGGAUUUAGGGGGGGGGGGGGGCAAUUAUGCUGCAAGUGGAAAUUUACCGGUAUUUGAGUGUAACAAUUGUAAAAAUAUUAAGAUCUAUGUUUAAUUGCCCCCUUCAAUCGUCAAUAUUCAAUUUUUGGCCCCCUUAUAAGCAAAUCCUGCCUCCGUCCCUCUGUGGCAAGUGCAUCGAAUGUCCAAUACACUAUAAAAUUUUCCCCAUGAAUGGUUGCAAGUUAGUCAUUCAUGCAUGCAUUGAUGCAUAGCUGUCCAUGUAAAUUGUAAAACUCGGCAGCAUUUUGUUAGUUCUGGACUGCUAGACCUGCCUGGUUUAUGACCACAAGUCUCCUCCCCAAAUUCGGCUGUAAUGCUAUGGUGUUCCAUGAGUUUGUUUUUUACAAUUUUGUUCUUAGAAAAUUUGGUACGGUCUCUGUCCUUUUUGCUGUUUUGAAUUGGAAAAGAGGUUGCAGGACCAAACUUGAGAGUAGCUAUGCUUGUCGUACUUGAUACUAUGCUGAUGAUUUGUAACUGGUAGAGUGAUCCCUUGUGUUUAUGGAAUAUGAAAGUUUCUGGUAAUUUCAUGUGCAUGUGUGUAUGCAUUGUGUAUGUAGAACUGAUGUACUCUUGCUAAAAUGCAGCACUUCAUUACCAUGUUUGAAAUUCUAUUAUUGUUGUAGUAAAA